GGGGAGGCAGCAGUGGGGAAUAUUGCACAAUGGGGGGAAAACCCUGACUGCAGCCAUGCCGCGUGUGUGAAGAAGGCCUUCGGGUUGUAAAGCACUUUCAGUAGGGAGGAAGGUAGUGUAGUUAACACCUGCAUUAUUUGACGUUACCUACAGAAGAAGCACCGGCUAACUCCGUGCCAGCAGCCGCGGUAAUACGGAGGGUGCGAGCGUUAAUCGGAAUUACUGGGCGUAAAGCGCAUGCAGGCGGCCUGUUAAGUCAGAUGUGAAAGCCCGGGGCUUAACCUCGGAAUUGCAUUUGAAACUGGCAGGCUAGAGUCUUGUAGAGGGGGGGUAGGAAUUUCAGGUGUAGCGGUGAAAUGCGUAGAGAUCUGAAGGAAUACCAGUGGCGAAGGCGGCCCCCCUGGACAAAGACUGACGCUCAGAUGCGAAAGCGUGGGGAGCAAACAGGAUUAGAUACCCUGGUAG
rnacentral:rRNA from 1 species